CUCACCUUUAGAUUUUCACCACCUUCAUCAUGCCAUGGGCCACAUCAUCAUUCCCUCCACCAUAUUGUUGGCACCCCCACCAUGAUGCAAUCAUUGCUGUCACUGCUAUCUCUAUCACAUAAUUGGUACUUCUAUCGUUAUCAUCAAUUAUCACUAUCUUUAUUAUACUAACAUCAUCGUUAUUACUUUUCAUCAUGUCGUUGGUAUCCCCAUCACCUAUACUACUAGAGUUUUCACUACCUCCAUACUUCUACCAUCACCUUCACCAUCA
rnacentral:lncRNA from 1 species